AAAAGAUAUUUUAGUUACUAGAUAAAGAUUGUCGCUUCGGUUCCCUUUGUUCUGCUGUCCGAAACAUGUGUGGUACAUACCUGUCAAAUCGUAUGGAUUUUCCUUCUUUGACAUUUAGCUCCCCUAUCCUCGCCAGCAAAAGAUGUUCCGGACAGCGACGACAGCGACAAUCUUUAUCUAGUAACUAAAAUAUCUUUUCCUGGGUGCAAAUAAAUUAAAAACAAAAACUAUUUGAUUAUGACCUGAGACGAAGUGUGAGAAAAAGAAGCGAGCAAAUCACAAUCUACACAUAACUCUUCAAAUUGGUGAAAUCGGCAAUCACAGCAAAAAAUAAUGUAAUGUCCAUCGACGUAAUUUGAGCAACGUAGCAAAUAUUCGAUGUAAUGACGAAAUUCGAAUGUAUAAUGACAUCCAUUUGGAUGUAAUUCUACAUCUCCUUGAAAUUACACAGGUUUAGAACUACCAGUUUCCAUUUACGUUGCAAGUGUGUAAUAUUCGCAUGUCAAAGCGAUGAAUAUUACACACAAUCAUGUGCAACCCACUUAUUCAAAAGUUGUAGUGUGAAAUUACACAACUUUGAAUGUGAUAUCACAAUAGUUUACUACGCAAUAUUGUAUAUUGGCAACACUGACCUUUUUCGCUUUUCGUCAUUCGUCAUCGUUUGUCAUCAGUACGCCAUUUUUGUUUGGUUGUUUGCUGCAUUUGCUGCGGUUGCUUUGCUGAAUUUCAAUUUAAAAAAAAGCAGGCAUUUUGGUGCGCGAAAAGGUCGAGCAUCCCUUGUGAACUAAAUUUGAGAUCUGGAUCGCAGAACUGGAUAAACGACACUCCUGUUAAUCACAACUACUCGGGAACGGAAUUCAUUUGGAAUGGAACAAAAUUAAAAUUAUUGCCCGUGAUGAGCAACAUUCAUCAUUUGGAAUUCCUGGUUCCGAUUUCAAAAAGCUCAGGCCCGGCAGAAAAAAAUAAACCGGAUGACGAUCCAGUGCUAAACGAUGGAAACAGUUUUGCGAAUCGUUGGCAAAGGGAUGGUACAAACUCGGGAACAAAGGCAACAUAGCCGAAACUGGACGAUUAUUUUGCAGAAGACAGAAGGAAUUAGAUAUCGCCGAAUGUAGCGAAAAAUUGACUGGAACGGUUCAUCUCCAUCAGCGAGUCUAAUCAAAGGAGUCAAGCAUGCGAGAUUCUUCCGGCUCAAGAACAAUUUAUGCCUCGCUGACAGACGUUCGGUUACAACAUAUCCAGUAUCAUAUAGGAGCAUAGAAGCCGCCUUGGCAUAGUUUGCGGCUUCAAAGCGCCUCCGAACGCGAUGGGAUUCCAGCAAGACAUGAGCCACCCUGGGUCUGCCGAUCGAUACUGGAUUCCUGAUGCUCUUCAAUAUACUCGCUUCAAUAUGUAUCGCCGUUGCAUUUGAUCUACCGGCGAUAGAUCUACUGAUGUAGUAAAAAAAUAUAGUAUUUUUUUAUCUUGUAUUCACGAAUCAUUUAAAAAACUUGACCAAACAAUUAUUGAUGAAAGAAAUCCACCAAAAGAAAACUCAAUGGUAUAAAUGCCUUUUAUCUUACACUAUUUUACAUAGUUUAACUUUACAUCGCCUAGCU